rnacentral:rRNA from 1 species
CCUACGGGUGGCAGCAGUGGGGGAUAUUGCACAAUGGGGGGAACCCUGAUGCAGCGACGCCGCGUGGGUGAAGGAGCGUUUCGGCGCGUAAAGCCCUGUCAGCAGGGAAGAAGAUGACGGUACCUGACCAAGAAGCCCCGGCUAACUACGUGCCAGCAGCCGCGGUAAUACGUAGGGGGCAAGCGUUAUCCGGAUUUACUGGGUGAAAAGGGGGCGCAGACGGCAAUGCAAGCCAGGAGUGAAAGCCCGGGGCCCAACCCCGGGACUGCUCUUGGAACUGCAUGGCUGGAGUGCAGGAGGGGCAGGCGGAAUUCCUAGUGUAGCGGUGAAAUGCGUAGAUAUUAGGAGGAACACCGGUGGCGAAGGCGGCCUGCUGGACUGUAACUGACGUUGAGGCCCGAAAGCGUGGGGAGCAAACAGGAUUAGAUACCCUAGUAGUC